rnacentral:rRNA from 1 species
AUUGAACGCUGGCGGCAGGCCUAACACAUGCAAGUCGAACGAGUGGCGGACGGGUGAGUAAUGUCUGGGAAACUGCCUGAUGGAGGGGGAUAACUCCUGGAAACGGUAGCUAAUACCGCAUACCCUCAGGUGUGCCCAGAUGGGAUUAGCUAGUUGGUGGGGUAACGGCUCACCAAGGCGACGACCCCUAGCUGGUCUGAGAGGAUGACCGGCAACACUGGAACUGAGACCCGGUCCAGACUCCUACGGGAGGAAGCAGUGGGGAAUAUUGCACAAUGGGCGAAAGCCUGAUGCAGCCAUGCCGCGUGUAUGAAGAAGGCCUUCGGGUUGUAAAGUACUUUCAGCGGGGAGGCGUUACCCGCAGAAGAAGCACCGGCUAACUCCGUGCCAGCCGCCGCGGUAAUAC